rnacentral:lncRNA from 1 species
CGGGGAGUGGGGCGGGGCAUCGCGGCGAGCGCCGUUGGCGGGGAACCGGGCGGGGAAUCUCUGUGCUUCCUCAGUCCCCAGGCCCAGCACCUGCAGGGCCGAGCAGCUCCAGUCCCAGGUCCAAUCCUGAGUGGCCAAAAGCCGGAAACCCGGAGUUGGAAUUGGAUCUUGCACAAGCUGGACCACGGAGUGAGGCUACUUGAGAAGCAUCUUAAAUGGGGAGAGAGAGCAAGUUAAAUCUGAUUUCCACGCAGCUCUGUGGAUUCCGAAUGUCCACAGUAUGAUGUUAUCUCCAUUCCCACUUCCGAGCCGCUCCUCUUCUGUGUGUUUCCUGCACCACCAUUCGCUCAGUUGCUCUACACUAAAAUUUGCUGUCAUCGUUGACUUCUCCCUCUCCUUCAUCCCCUACAAGUAUCAACAUAGACAACUCCGAUCAAUGUAAUCAUCAGUGAAUAAAGCAAAUUGCAGCGCAUAUUCUUAAAGACAAACUUUCCACUUGCAGCAGCACCUACCUUCCAGAUAGCUAAAUUGAAGCCCGUGUUUAUCAUAGCUGCUUCUAACCAGCCAGAGCUGAUAAUAACUAAGAACUUGCAGGAAUUGCAGUAUGCCAGACCUUCAGUUUAAUUGAAGACUUUCCUGAACAAUUAAUGAGACUUGUCUUAACCAGCAGGGAAUGGCUUUAGGGACUCAUUCUUCCCUAUGCAGGUGCAAGCCUCAAACCUUAAUUAGGAUCAUCCACCAUGAUCCUCGAGCCCUUCCUCACCUUAUACUUGAAGAGGCUGAACCUCAAGAGAAUUAAAUUACCUACAGUCCUGGUCACUGGUAGAGCUAUUAUUUAAAGUAAGGUCUAAUGUCAAAGCCUGCGUCCUUAAUUCUACCAUAUGCUGCUUCUUGCAGUGUCGUUCCUCAACCAGAACACAUAGCUCUUCUGUGUAGGUAAAGUCCAUCAAAACAUGUCAUAAAAUAAAUUAAAGAAAUUGGU